GUGUCAGCAGCCGCGGUAAUACGGAGGAUGCGAGCGUUAUCCGGAUUUAUUGGGUUUAAAGGGUGCGUAGGCGGAUUACUAAGUCAGUGGUGAAAACCUUCAGCUUAACUGGAGACUUGCCAUUGAUACUGAUAGUCUUGAGUACGGUCAAGGUAGGCGGAAUGUGUAACGUAGCGGUGAAAUGCUUAGAUAUUACACAGAACACCGAUUGCGAAGGCAGCUUACUGGGCCAUUACUGACGCUGAUGCACGAAAGCGUGGGGAGCGAACAGGAUUAGAUACCCUGGUAGUCCACGCCGUAAACGAUGAUCACUCGCCGUUGGCGAUACACAGUCAGCGGCUAAGCAAAAGCAUUAAGUGAUCCACCUGGGGAGUACGGCCGCAAGGCUGAAACUUAAAUGAAUUGGCGGGG
rnacentral:rRNA from 1 species